AAAUGAGUAUUAAAAAAGCAUUUAUUUUUUUAGGUCAUCAUAAAUUAAAGUUUGAUUUUCUUCACUCAGAGAAUAUUAAGGUAAUGGGAUUACCUGUGUAUUCUCUGAAAUUUGCGGAGUCAAACACUU